GUUGAACACGUUUGGUUAAAAAGCUGGAGAAGAAAGAAACCUGUAUAAACUGUAAAAUAAUAACUAAAAAAAACAUGAUGCGGAUGGACCAAGACAAACAUGUAAGUCCUUUAUCUAAUUAGAUUAAAUAAAAACAGGAUGGGUACACAACACUUGACAAAAACACAUUUGGUGAUUAAAGUCCUGAGAACAGCUUGAUCUUUUGUGGCGAAUCAGAUUUCUACAACCGUUCAGCAGCUGAUCACUGACUGCUGGGCCCUUGUGUCAAAACAAACUCCUGCUCCUGCGUUACAAGAUUUUUUCUGCUCUUCCCUGGCAAAACGAUGAAGAAAGUGUUGCAUAAACACAUUUUAAUGCCCUGGUGGGAGCCAUAACACACCGGUUUUGUGUAAUAGCUUAAAGAAAAAGACCGAAAAUAGAUAAACAACCAGUUAAGACUGAUCUUUUUAUUGCACAUUGUGUUAUUUUGCAAGUUUAACGAAAGAACUACAACUCCUCAUUUUUCAUUAUAAUAUGAUUUAGUGCAAAACUUUGGAGGUGAUGAGCAUUACGUAAAGGAAAAUUAACUCUAUGAGCUAAAAAAUAUCAGCUGAGAUAAAAUGAAAACCAGAACUUUACAUUUUAUUUUAGUUUUCUUUACAAACUUCAUUUUUCACUGGACUCAGUGUUGUAUGGGCAAAACUAUCUGUGGUGAUUGUAACUCUUGGCUGAUUGGUUCCCUCAUCUGAUUAUCCUCACCUGCGUUGAUGAGCUGACAGGCUUUAUAAGGCGUCGGCUCCAGAAGAUCAACGCUGAUGCAUCUAACCUAUUUGGACAAAUCUCACGUUGCCAAGCCGCCUGGAUCCUCAAGCCGCCUCUCUGUAAACUCAUCUGUCCACAGGAACAUCCAGGAAAUCAUCAGGAACCCAAUCAGCCACUCUGCCUGAAGAAACAUACCACUUGGAACCCCUCCUCUGAUCCACGCUCCACACCACCAGGAAAACCUCAAGACGUCCCAAAACUCCUCAGCACUGUAAAUAAACUCGCUUACCUUUUCAUCUUGUCUCCUGGU